AACGAACGCUGGCGGCAGGCCUAACACAUGCAAGUCGAGCGGACCCUUCGGGGUUAGCGGCGGACGGGUGAGUAACGCGUGGGAAUAUGCCCUUCUCUACGGAAUAGUCCUGGGAAACUGGGGGUAAUACCGUAUACGCCCUUUGGGGGAAAGAUUUAUCGGGGAAGGAUUAGCCCGCGUUGGAUUAGGUAGUUGGUGGGGUAAUGGCCUACCAAGCCGACGAUCCAUAGCUGGUUUGAGAGGAUGAUCAGCCACACUGGGACUGAGACACGGCCCAGACUCCUACAGGAAGCAGCAGUGGGGAAUCUUAGACAAUGGGGGCAACCCUGAUCUAGCCAUGCCGCGUGAGUGAUGAAGGCCUUAGGGUUGUAAAGCUCUUUCAGCUGGGAAGAUAAUGACGGUACCAGCAGAAGAAGCCCCGGCUAACUCCGUG
rnacentral:rRNA from 1 species